CUGCCUUCUCAGGGAUACCACAACGGGAACUUAGAGCUGUUAUUUCCAGGGUCUUUCCCCUUAUAAGUUAUUACAAAAUAUUGAGUGUAUCUCCCAAGUGGCAUUUAAAGAUCACUCCGGCAGCUGGUGAAGACUGGAUGAAGGGGCCAUGAGUGGGGCAAGAGGCCUGCUGGAAACCCCUGCCUUGUCUCGGGGAGAACAUGCUGGCCUGGACCAAGGUGUUAAGGCAGGGGUGGAGACCACUGGACAGACCCACCAUGCGGGCCUGGAGGUGGGGCCCAUGGGCUGGCCCCUGGAUGCGGGGGGCAGGUGAUGGUACUGCCCUGGGGACCAGGAAGGGGGCCUGGCCCUGAGGCCUUUCAGGCGGGUCCAUGGAGCCUGGACUACCUGCUCAGCUCCUUCUGCCCUGCUCCAUCCAGCUGUCACCAAGACCCUGACCAGGCCACCUCCCCCUCCCCCAGCAGGCAGCCUCACGCUGCUGAUGGGCCAGGCCCAUCCUGGUCACCUUGCUUCCCAGCCAGAAAGCCUCCACAGCCUGGGCGAGGGAGUCCAAGCUAAUUCAGGGCCUCUCCCACCUCUCCUGGUUGUCAGUGUGAGGGGAACUUUGGGGACAAGGGGACGCUCCCUGCAAUGGACUGUGUGACAGGAGUUGGGGCCCUGCCUCCCCGCCAGCGCUUCCAGACAAUCCACACGACUGGAGGAUGUCCACAGGCAAAAUUGUCGCCAAGAGAAGGAAGGAAGAGCCCCGACCGGCUCUGCCUCUGUGGGGAAAGAGCCUGUUUGCAGCCUCCAAGGAAGCCUGCUGAAUAGCUGUACUUAUCAGGUCCUGGCUGAGCCUUGAGUUGGCAGAGGUGAACCGAAGGAAACUACAACAGACAUACAAGUCACCGCCUCCCACGACAGUCUGGGACUGCCAUUCUGUAAGGGCUCCGGGGUUCAAAGAGACCUGAGAGGCCGGAUGGAGCCCUUCUGCUGGGGUUGCUCAGGGGAGGCUUCUCGGAGGAGAGAGCAUUUAAGCUGGGCGCGGAGGCCUGGGCUGGCAGUGGCAGGGCUCAGCCCACUGAUUGGCUGAUGGAUCUGCAAAAGUUGGAACAUCCAUGGGUGCUAAGUCUGCUGGGACCAAGGAUCUGAAAUGACUUCAUUGCCGAGCUGAGCGUGGACCCUGAAACCUACUUGGUUUGGUAACCUGCACGUUGUACCCAGCUGACAUUGCCCCCACCGGAUAUCCAUGGAACUGGCCAAGCUGGACACUGGGGAGGGACAGGUGUGGGCCGAUGGCCUCUGGACACUGCUUCUCCCACACUUGGGCUGAGUCCUAUGCUGUGAACCCAGACACCAAGAUGACAAGACCAACAGGGCAAGACCUCCGGGGGCCUGGCCUGGCCCCCCUCAUGCAGUGCCUCUAACAUGUUAUCCUCUCUUCAGGCCUCCAGCCCUCGCCAAGGCCCAAGGCUGUGCUAAGGCUCUGUUGAGAGCCAACCUGGGGGCCCAGGGCCUGCCUGGGCAGAGAUUGCGCCCAGGAGGCGGUGAGCUGUGCUGACUCCCAGGAAGACAGCCAACACCUGCACCAGCCUGCCCAGGCACACCCCUCUGCCCCAGCCAACUAUGACACAGCUGUCAAGGCCUAGCCCAGCUGUCAUUUCCUCUGGGCUGGGGCCAGGGUUAUCAGUAGGGUCUCCAGCCUUGGUGCUUCUGUGACAUGGAUGGGGUGAGGAAUUAAACACACAGGAAAACCAAUUCAGACAAUCAAGGAGAAAAAGAAAUGUAGUAUUCCAUGUAACUGCCAAGUCCAGGGUAUCCUUCAGGCAUGGCUGGAUCCAGGGCUCAAAGGCUCUGCCUCUUUUUGUGUUGUCUCCAUCUCAUGGGGGUCCCAGGCCAACAUUUUCCCUCUCAGCUAUCCUGGCAGAAUCAGAGAUUUUCCUUGCCCGUUGUUCUAACAAAGGUUUCAAAACUGGGCCUCUCUGGCUGGGAUCAUACGUCCACCCUGGAAGCAUGAAGGACUGAAGUUAACUCUGCCUGGACAAUGUGGCCUGAGGGUGGCAGAGGAGAAGGGGUGUACUUAGCCGUUGAAGGGGAGAUGGAGCGGGUCAGGCAGCAGCACAGCUGUCUCCCUCAUUUGCAGCUGGCUCCCCACCAGAUGGGCAAUGCUCGGGCAGGGAUAGUGUCCGAGGCAUGUAUGCCCCGGCUUGGCCAUUUACAAGGCCAGCAACAGAGCAAGGGCUAUAGCAUACUGUCUUUGGGUGAGUUCCUCAGGACAUUGGCAUGUGCUGUUCCCUCUGCCUGGAACAGCCGAGCACCUCCCUCCUCCUCCAAUUAGGUAUCUCCUCAUCCUGCAGGUCUGGAAUUCUAAAUAGAUGCACAUUCAUCCUCUCACUCUAUCCUCAUGGCCUUUUUUAACCUCUGCUUCAUAUUUUCUGUCUUCUUAUUUCUUAUGCUGCAUCCUGGGAAAUUUCCUCAGACCUAUGCUCCAAUUCACUGAUUCUCUCUUCAGCUGUUUAACGUUUCAAUUCUUAUAUUUUCAUUGGUAAAAAUGAUAUUUGGUUGUUUUUCAAAUCUGUCCUAUCUUUAAAAAAUAGACUCUCAUUCUUUUAUUUUACGUUAUUUUUUGCUUUUUAGGGCUGCAUC